rnacentral:rRNA from 1 species
AGAAUUUGAAUCUGGGUCCCGGAGGAAACGCGGGGGGGCGUCCUUAAUACGUGCAAGUCGAGCGAGCCGAACCAACAGAUUUACUUCGGUAAUGACGUUGGGAAAGCGAGCGGCGGAUGGGUGAGUAACACGUGGGGAACCUGCCCCUAAGUCUGGGAUACCAUUUGAAAACAGGUGCUAAUACCGGAUAAUAAAGCAGAUCGCAUGAUCAGCUUUUGAAAGGCGGCGUAAGCUGUCGCUAAGGGAUGGCCCCGCGGUGCAUUAGCUAGUUGGUAAGGUAACGGCUUACCAAGGCGACGAUGCAUAGCCGAGUUGAGAGACUGAUCGGCCACAUUGGGACUGAGACACGGCCCAAACUCCUACGGGAGGCAGCAGUAGGGAAUCUUCCACAAUGGACGCAAGUCUGAUGGAGCAACGCCGCGUGAGUGAAGAAGGUUUUCGGAUCGUAAAGCUCUGUUGUUGGUGAAGAAGGAUAGAGGUAGUAACUGGCCUUUAUUUGACGGUAAUCAACCAGAAAGUCACGGCUAACUACGUGCCAGCAGCCGCGGUAAUACGUAGGUGGCAAGCGUUGUCCGGAUUUAUUGGGCGUAAAGCGAGCGCAGGCGGAAAAAUAAGUCUAAUGUGAAAGCCCUCGGCUUAACCGAGGAACUGCAUCGGAAACUGUUUUUCUUGAGUGCAGAAGAGGAGAGUGGAACUCCAUGUGUAGCGGUGGAAUGCGUAGAUAUAUGGAAGAACACCAGUGGCGAAGGCGGCUCUCUGGUCUGCAACUGACGCUGAGGCUCGAAAGCAUGGGUAGCGAACAGGAUUAGAUACCCUGGUAGUCCAUGCCGUAAACGAUGAGUGCUAAGUGUUGGGAGGUUUCCGCCUCUCAGUGCUGCAGCUAACGCAU